rnacentral:sRNA from 1 species
UUCCAAUCUGCAUCUUCAUCAAAAAGCAAUCAAGAAGGUAAUG